CAAUAGCGUAUAUUUAAGUUGUUGCAGUUAAAAAGCUCGUAGUUGGAUUUCUGCUGAGAACGACCGGUCCGCCCUCUGGGUGUGUAUCUGGCUCUUUCUUGGCAUCUUCUUGGUGAACGUUGCUGCACUUGACUGUGUGGAGCGCUACCCAGGACUUUUACUUUGAGGAAAUUAGAGUGUUUCAAGCAGGCAUACGCCUUGAAUACAUUAGCAUGGAAUAAUAAGAUAGGACCUCGGUUCUAUUUUGCUGGUUUCUAGAGCUGAGGUAAUGAUUAAUAGGGAUAGUUGGGGGCAUUCGUAUUUAACUGUCAGAGGUGAAAUUCUUGGAUUUGUUAAAGACGGACUACUGCGAANGNAUUUGGNAAGGAUGUUUNCAUUG
rnacentral:rRNA from 1 species